rnacentral:rRNA from 1 species
CACGUAGGGUGCGAGCGUUGUCCGGAAUUAUUGGGCGUAAAGAGCUCGUAGGCGGUGUGUCGCGUCGGCCGUGAAAACCUGCAGCUUAACUGUGGGCUUGCGGUCGAUACGGGCAUCACUGGAGUUCGGCAGGGGAGACUGGAAUUCCUGGUGUAGCGGUGGAAUGCGCAGAUAUCAGGAGGAACACCGGUGGCGAAGGCGGCAUCCUGGACCGACAUUGACGCUGAGGCGCGAAAGCCAGGGGAGCAAACGGG